rnacentral:rRNA from 1 species
GAUGAACGCUGGCGGCGUGCCUAAUACAUGCAAGUCGAGCGAACAGACGAGGAGCUUGCUCCUCUGACGUUAGCGGCGGACGGGUGAGUAACACGUGGAUAACCUACCUAUAAGACUGGGAUAACUUCGGGAAACCGGAGCUAAUACCGGAUAAUAUAUUGAACCGCAUGGUUCAAUAGUGAAAGACGGUUUUGCUGUCACUUAUAGAUGGAUCCGCGCCGCAUUAGCUAGUUGGUAAGGUAACGGCUUACCAAGGCAACGAUGCGUAGCCGACCUGAGAGAGUGAUCGGCCACACUGGAACUGAGACACGGUCCAGACUCCUAAGGGAGGCAGCAGUAGGGAAUCUUCCGCAAUGGGCGAAAGCUUGACGGAGCAACGCCGCGUGAGUGAUGAAGGUCUUCGGAUCGUAAAACUCUGUUAUUAGGGAAGAACAAAUGUGUAAGUAACUAUGCACGUCUUGACGGUACCUAAUCAGAAAGCCACGGCUAACUACGUG